rnacentral:rRNA from 1 species
UACGUAGGGGGCUAGCGUUGUCCGGAAUCAUUGGGCGUAAAGCGCGUGUAGGCGGUCCGGUAAGUCCGCUGUGAAAGUCGGGGGCUCAACCCUCGAAUGCCGGUGGAUACUGUCGGGCUAGAGUGCGGAAGAGGCGAGUGGAAUUCCUGGUGUAGCGGUGGAAUGCGCAGAUAUCAGGAAGAACACCGAUGGCGAAGGCAGGUCUCUGGGCCAUAACUGACGCUGAGAAGCGAAAGCAUGGGGAGCGAACAGG